UCCCUGAUCGCUCAGUUGGUAAAGAAUCUGCCUGCAAUGCAGGAGAACCCGGUUCAAUUCCGGGGUUGGGAA
rnacentral:tRNA from 1 species